GCUCCAAUAGAUCAGUGGCAGAGCGAGCGGGCGACAAUCGCGAGGUUACCGGAUCGAAACCGGCUUGGAGCA